GAGUCUGCACGAGCAGCGCAUGCUCCUGGGUCCAGUCUGAUAGAGACGAGAUGGCGGCAGCAGCGUCUAAGAGGAUGAGCGUCCGACAGAGAGUUCCUGCUAAGAGCGACCGGGACCGGACCAGCCAGGAAGUCAGCACCGGGGUGAGUACCUGGCUCUGGGACCAGUGUGACAGUUUAAUUGGUUGCCACAUGAACUGGGGAUGUUACUGCAGAAGUUCAUGCGGUCGCUCUGAUUUGUGCCCUGGUGGUUUUUAAUCUGUGUGUGUGCUGACAUCCAGCCUGUACGGGCAACAGGAUGAGGGAUUUGUUGAGUCCAGAUCGCCGUUGAGUCAGGACGCUGAAGUUAGCUUCCAGUUCUGCACUUAAGGGAAAGUUAACUUACUGCUGAGCUUUUGCUCCUCUUGUUGUGAAAGCUGUCAGACAUUUUAAGUUUUAACUCUGUCUGAAAAUCCAAAAAAGAAACUUCCCCAUCGUAGGACUACUAGGAAAAGAUGUGAGUCCGGCUGGACCUGCUGGGACUUUGUAAACAAAUCUGAGGCGCUAAAUCUGUACUGUCAGUGUGUUUUCUAUAGAGAGCAAAACAUAGUGAGGGCUACAUGGAAAGGAGGGCAGAAGAAGGAAGGAAAGAUACAGAAAGACAGAGAGAAGCAAACUGAGACAAACAUUUGGAAGGUUUAGUAGUUAAAGGACUGCAGCCCCAAGUUGUAGCAGUAUCUUGGAGCUGAAUUUUUCUCUUUAGUGUUUAUUCAGAAUAUUUAAUAAUUCACAGACUCAGCUUUAAGAUUUCUUUAUUUGACUGUUCUGCAGAAUGAAGUGAUGCAGUCCUGAAAAUCAAGCUCUUCACAGUCCUCCCAAAGCACACUCUGUACUGCCCUCCCUUUCCAGGACGUCCUCUCCAUAUUUGGUCCAGUCCAGUCAGUAUCUCUGAACCUACAAUGAAUCACUCUGAGAACUUGGCCGGAAAAGUAGUUUAGUGCACAUUCCAACGAGAUCGCUUCAUCCUGUUCCUCACAUGUUGGCCAGAGUCCAAGGAAACCCAACCUAACAGAAAAACAUCUGGUUUCUAGUUUUUCAGAAAAACAGAGAGGAAGAGAUGGACUUAAACAACACCACUGUGACAAAUCCUUCAGAACAUCUGGACAGUCAAAGAAUCAUCGGAGAGUUCACACUGGAGAGAAACCGUACAGCUGUGACCAGUGUGGGAAGGUUUUCUCUACUUUAAGUAAUCUAAAAAGUCACAAAUAUGUUCACAUGGGGGAGAAACCAUACUGGUGUGAGCAGUGUGGGAAAAAUUUUACCCGAUCAUUGGAGCUAAAAAUUCACCAACGCAUUCACACGGGAGAGAAACCGUACAGCUGUGACCAGUGUGGGAAGGUUUUCUCUACUUUAAGUAAUCUAAAAAGUCACAAAUAUCUUCACAUGGGGGAGAAACCAUACUGGUGUGAGCAGUGUGGGAAAUAUUUUAUCCGAUCAUUGGAGCUAAAAAUUCACCAACGCAUUCACACGGGAGAGAAAGCGUAGCGGUGUGAACAGCGUGGGAAAAGAUUUACUCACAGUAAAACCCUGAAACGGCACCAAUGCGGUCACGCUGCAUCGCUGUAAACAUUUUUCAGAGCCAAGCUAGCUCUUGCCUGCUGCCUCCUCCUCAUGCUGUGUUAUAUUGUGAGCUUCUCUUUAAACUGAGAGAUAGACAACAGUAACUUUAUAUUCUGAGCAGCAUGUGCGUUAAUGUGUUAACUGUUUCUACUGAUGUUAUUAUGAAUUCGUAAACAAGUGUCAAUGAACUGAAUUUUUGUACAUUUUUAAUACACUUCAGAUCUCAAACCUGUAAAAUAAUAUUUAAAACUCACCGUUCAGCUGCUGGCACUAUUCCACUAGCACUGCGAGGAAGAAGUGCUUCCUUACCGUCCAUUAAUCUGCCAAGUGCUCAUAAGAUCACUUGGUAAAUAAAAUGUAGGGACUUUAGGAGCCGUCAGCCCUUCCUCUCUGAUCUCUCUGGGACGUCCCAGAUGACCACUCUCUCUCUGGGGAAGUCGGAUAUGAAACUCAGCAGAAGGACAUAAAUCCUUGAGAUGAGUUUUAUUAACCCAAGUGUAAAUAAAUGUACAGUCACUGGUUCAGUAAUAA